rnacentral:rRNA from 1 species
GACGAACGCUGGCGGCGUGCCUAAUACAUGCAAGUCGAACGCAGUGGGGACGGGUGAGUAACACGUGGGUAACCUCCCAUCAGAGCGGAUAACACUUGGAAACAGGUGCUAAACCGAUACUGAUGGCUGGUCCAGCGGUGCCUUAGCUAGUUGGUGCGGUAACGGCUCCCCAAGGCCACGAUGCAUAGCCGACCUGAGAGGGUGAUCGGACACACGGGGACUGAGACACGGCCAAGACGCAUACGGGAGGCAGCAGUAGGGAAUCUUGGGCAAUGGACGAAAGUCUGACCGAGCAACGCCGCGUGAGGGAAGAAGGUUUUCGGAUCGUAAAACUCUGUUGUUAGAGAAGCGGUAUAUAACCAGAAAGCCACGGCUAACUACGUGCCAGCAGCCGCGGUAAUAC